AAGCUGACGAGUCCCAAAUAGGACGAAACAUGAGUCCUGGAU
rnacentral:hammerhead_ribozyme from 1 species